GAUGAACGCUGGCGGCGUGCCUAAUACAUGCAAGUCGAGCGAACAGACGAGGAGCUUGCUCCUCUGAUGUUAGCGGCGGACGGGUGAGUAACACGUGGAUAACCUACCUAUAAGACUGGGAUAACUUCGGGAAACCGGAGCUAAUACCGGAUAACAUGUUGAACCGCAUGGUUCAACAGUGAAAGACGGUCUUGCUGUCACUUAUAGAUGGAUCCGCGCCGCAUUAGCUAGUUGGUAAGGUAACGGCUUACCAAGGCAACGAUGCGUAGCCGACCUGAGAGGGUGAUCGGCCACACUGGAACUGAGACACGGUCCAGACUCCUACGGGAGGCAGCAGUAGGGAAUCUUACGCAAUGGGCGAAAGCCUGACGGAGCAACGCCGCGUGAGUGACGAAGGUCUUCGGAUCGUAAAACUCUGUUAUUAGGGAAGAACAAAUGUGUAAGUAACUGUGCACGUCUUGACGGUACCUAAUCAGAAAGCCACGGCUAACUACGUG
rnacentral:rRNA from 1 species